GGGAAUAUUGCACAAUGGGGGAAACCCUGAUGCAGCGACGCCGCGUGAGUGAAGAAGCGUUUCGGCGCGUAAAGCUCUGUCAGCGGGGAAGAAACACGGUUCGCGAGAGCCGCGGACGGUACCCGACCAAGAAGCCCCGGCUAACUACGUGCCAGCAGCCGCGGUAAUACGUAGGGGGCAAGCGUUAUCCGGAUUUACUGGGUGUAAAGGGAGCGUAGACGGUGAUGUAAGUCUGGAGUGAAAGGCGGGGGCCCAACCCCCGGACUGCUCUGGAAACUAUGUGACUGGAGUGCAGGAGAGGUGAGCGGAAUUCCUAGUGUAGCGGUGAAAUGCGUAGAUAUUAGGAGGAACACCAGUGGCGAAGGCGGCUCACUGGACUGUAACUGACGUUGAGGCUCGAAAGCGUGGGGAGCAAACAA
rnacentral:rRNA from 1 species